rnacentral:rRNA from 1 species
CCUGGCUCAGAUUGAACGCUGGCGGCAUGCCUUACACAUGCAAGUCGAACGGCAGCACGGGAGCAAUCCUGGUGGCGAGUGGCGAACGGGUGAGUAAUAUAUCGGAACGUGCCCAGUCGUGGGGGAUAACGUAGCGAAAGCUACGCUAAUACCGCAUACGAUCUAUGGAUGAAAGCGGGGGAUCGCAAGACCUCGCGCGAUUGGAGCGGCCGAUAUCAGAUUAGGUAGUUGGUGGGGUAAAAGCCUACCAAGCCUUCGAUCUGUAGCUGGUCUGAGAGGACGACCAGCCACACUGGAACUGAGACACGGUCCAGACUCCUACGGGAGGCAGCAGUGGGGAAUUUUGGACAAUGGGCGCAAGCCUGAUCCAGCAAUGCCGCGUGCAGGAUGAAGGCCUUCGGGUUGUAAACUGCUUUUGUACGGAACGAAACGGCUCUUUCUAAUAAAGGGAGCUAAUGACGGUACCGUAAGAAUAAGCACCGGCUAACUACGUG